CUGACUGAUUUAGUAUUUUACAACUGCUGUACAUUAUUUGUAUCUUUUUAGGUUGUCAUCCAGUGGCUGCGAAACAACAACCUUUGCCGCUACCAAGCCGAGAUGAUGCUCAUGAAUACCGUGAAGGAAAAUGAGGGACUUUCAGAAUCCCAGGAAGAAGAAGCCACAGAAAAGGGAAGCCCGUUCAUUGUCGAUAGUCAGGCUGCAGCUGACUGGUGCAGAGAACAAAAAUUCAGUGGAAGAAUAACACUUCCUGUUGUUCUGGAUAUGGACAAGCUAGAACAAGCAGAAGCUCUCGAGGCCCUCAAGACAUGGGAUGAAGACUAUCAUGAAUAUUCUCCAGCAGAGCAUUUUACUUUUGUUUUUGAAAAGAAGGAGGAUUAUGAAAAGUUCUGUUUGUACAUUGUGGAUGUAAAAAAACUAAAAGUUUUUGCAAGAUUUGAAUAACUUCUGUAAAUAAAGACUUUUACAAGUAACCAUAUAU